AUUGAACGCUGGCGGCAGGCCUAACACAUGCAAGUCGAGCGGAUGAAAGGAGCUUGCUCCUGGAUUCAGCGGCGGACGGGUGAGUAAUGCCUAGGAAUCUGCCUGGUAGUGGGGGACAACGUUUCGAAAGGAACGCUAAUACCGCAUACGUCCUACGGAAGAAAGAAGGGGACCUUCGGGCCUUGUGCUAUCAGAUGAGCCUAGGUCGGAUUAGCUAGUUGGUGAGGUAAUGGCUCACCAAGGCGACGAUCCGUAACUGGUCUGAGAGGAUGAUCAGUCACACUGGAACUGAGGCACGGUCCAGACUCCUACGGGAGGCAGCAGUGGGGAAUAUUGGACAAUGGGCGAAAGCCUGAUCCAGCCAUGCCGCGUAUGUGAAGAAGGUCUUCGGAUUGUAAAGCACUUUAAGUUGGGAGGAAGGGUUGUAGAUUAAUACUCUGCAAUUUUGACGUUACCGACAGAAUAAGCACCGGCUAACUCUGUGCAGCAGCCGCCGUAAAAC
rnacentral:rRNA from 1 species